UAUAUUAAUUGUUUUACAGUUAAUAGUGGUAAGUAGGAAAGAGAAGCCGACACGAUGAGACUAAUUGCUGUUUUUCGGGAGCGAAAGAAGAGGUCAGAUGGACCCACGCGGGUGUAAACAUUGAUCGAAGAGGUGAUA
ensembl:ncRNA C07H6.11 ncRNA